rnacentral:rRNA from 11 species
GCUAAAGGCUUAAAUAUCCUAAAGCACCAGAUCCCUACUGAUAUUGGAAGUUAAGACAGAUCAGCCCAGGUUAGUACUUGGAUAAGAGACUGAAAAGGAAUACUUGUUGCUGUGUGCU